rnacentral:rRNA from 1 species
UUUCGCAAUGCCCGAAAGGGUGACGAAGCGACGCCGCGUGUGGGAAGAAGGCCUUCGGGUUGUAAAGCCCUGUCAGGAGUUAAGAAAUGUAGAUUCGCUAAUAUCGGGUCUAUUUGACGAAGGCUCCAAAGGAAGCCACGGCUAACUCUGUGCCAGCAGCCGCGGUAAUACAGAGGUGGCAAGCGUUGUUCGGAAUUAUUGGGCGUAAAGAGCACGUAGGCGGCUAUGCAAGUCGGUUGUGAAAGCCUUCCGCUCAACGGAAGAACGGCAUCCGAUACUGCAUGGCUCGAGUGCGGGAGGGGAGAGUGGAACUUCUGGUGGAGCGGUGAAAUGCGUAGAUAUCAGAAGGAACACCGGCGGCGAAAGCGACUCUCUGGCCCGUAACUGACGCUGAGUGUGCGAAAGCUAGGGGAGCAAACGGGAUUAGAUACCCCGGUAGUCCUAGCCGUAAACGAUGGGCACUAAGUAGAGGGGUUUUA